ACCCUCUCCCAGGUCUAGAGAGGGGUACCCACGGUGGAGGGAGGUGGGAGGCCGAGACGGCCCCGGGGGUCGGCGGAGACCCAGCGGGAGCAGGGGGAAAUCGGAAGAGCUGGGGGCAUGGAGCGGGCGAGUUUGGAGCGGAAUGAGCCGGGAGCCCUACGUUGUGGAAGGAAGACAACAGUAUAGGACCAUCAGCAGGACCGGACAGAGAGGGGCACCCCUGGCUGUCCUGGAACUUGUAGACCAGGCUGGCCUUGAACUCAGAAAUCCGCCUGCCUCUGACUCCCGAGUGCUGAGAUUAAAGGUGUGCACCACCACACCCGACAAGGAAGCCUGUUUUAAGAAGUGAUUCCAUGGAGGAGUUCUGCGGCGGCUCAGGGCUUGACUAAACAGUGGACCUCAGGGUCCCAUUUCUCUCAGUAGACAAGAGAGGCUAAACCAGGCUGCAGGUGACAGGAAGAAUUGAAUAAACUGAAAGCAAAGGGCAGCCUUCUAAUUACGCUUCGUGGCUAUGUGGACAACCUGGAGAAGUCUGGAAACCCAGCCCCACCCCAUCACAUUCUUACUCCUUCCCUUUCCAAGAAAGAAGCCAGAAGCCCGAAGCCAGCAGUAGAGCUCUGACUGGCUUGUAUGCCUAGAAAGGAAGGGCUCUUCUUUCGCCUCACGGGCACAAAUGGGACCCACGAGCGCCGAUUUCAGACUAUUCUGAUCCCUUCAAAAAGAAAGUUAGGAGUCCAGGCUACUGUGAGUGAAUUUGAUUCUAAUUGUUUCAGAGAAUAUGGAAUAAAAUAUCUCAUUUGCA
rnacentral:lncRNA from 1 species